ACCAGACUCCUACGGGAGGCAGCAGUGGGGGAUAUUGCACAAUGGGGGGAACCCUGAUGCAGCGACGCCGCGUGGGUGAAGAAGCGCCUCGGCGCGUAAAGCCCUGUCAGCAGGGAAGAAAAUGACGGUACCUGAAGAAGAAGCCCCGGCUAACUACGUGCCAGCAGCCGCGGUAAUACGUAGGGGGCAAGCGUUAUCCGGAUUUACUGGGUGUAAAGGGGGCGCAGACGGCGAUGCAAGACAGGAGUGAAAACCCGGGGCCCAACCCCGGGACUGCUCUUGGAACUGCGUGGCUGGAGUGCAGGAGGGGAAGGCGGAAUUCCUGGUGUGGCGGUGAAAUGCGUAGAGAUCAGGAGGAACACCGGUGGCGAGGGCGGCCUGCUGGACUGCAACUGACGUUGAGGCCCGAAAGCGUGGGGAGCAAACAGGAUUAGAUACCCGUGUAAG
rnacentral:rRNA from 1 species